UUUCUCUAAUUGUGAUGCUAGUAUUGGAUUGAUAUAUGGUAUGUGUUAUCUGAUGAGGUGGACUGUUUUUUGGUAUGUGCUGAUGUUUCAGCAACUUGCAUUGUUUCCUUGUGUUUAAUAAUGUUUUGUCCUCUAGAAUUCUUACUUUUAUAAAGAGUUAAGAAGCUGAGCUGUGCUUCAUUGUGUUUCUCCAGUAUCUCUUCAAAUGAUGAAUGGGAGGUUAUUAGUAUGCUUGUCUUACUACCGCAGGUCUCCUUUGCCAUGUUCUUGAGGUUUUUCUUUGCUUCUUCCCCAUAUAUCUUCUUGCUAAAUAUUUCUUGAGCAUCCUUUCUUAUUUUGCGUUCAGAAGCUUGUGAGUUGUUAAAUUGUCUGUUCAAAUUGUUUUUGCAUUUUAAUCACCUUUUUUUUACUUAACAAAACUGGAGUCUAAACUCUGUUUGCAUGUUUAUAGGAUCUCUUUGUUUUUCUUAAUUAAAUAAAUUCCGGCCAAGAUAUACCAAGGAGUGUUCCUCUUGCUUUUGAUUCUUGUUGUUUCUAUUUGUACCAUCGACAAAAUACCCAUUUGUUUCAGCAUCAAGGAGGAUCUCUUUGACUGUAUGUUUCUCAGGGUGUCUUCAAGAAUUACAAGGGUUUGCUUUCAAGUGUAAUCAAAUGAUAACAGCUCUCCACAACUGGAAAAACACCAGAUUCAUCUUUAAUUUGCUUUACAUCUAUGCUAACUAAUUCUCAAGUAGAGGGUCCCAAGGCUCAUUUACGAGGGAAGUGUUUCUUCAGGGUCUUGGUGAUGUGACAUCUGGUUAAUCAUAUUUUUUCCUCAAGCUCUUAUAUCACAUUCUCUCUCUUGAAGUUGUCUGAUCCUCUGCUUUUGCAAUUUGAUUAGAACAAGCAAAGUUACAAGUGAGCCAACUAUUGUUUACUAAUGAUAUGGAUCUGCAAAUUUUUCCCGUGUGGCUAUCUGCUCUGCCUUCAUUGUGCUGUUAUAGGUUUUUCCAAAUGGCUUCUUUUCAAGUUCUCUAUAACCAGAGUAACAAGGUCAAGUUGGUUUUUGUUUGUGUGCUCUUGUUUAAGUUAAUUUUUAUAAAAUCCUGAAACUUCAACAGGAAUGAGAAUGGUGAAACGAGUCCUUGAUGCUUGGGGUUGCUUUGGGAUACUAGAUGAGUUUCUGUUCUGGUUGUAAUCUUUCCUGCGAAACCAUUAUUUUAUAUGAGGGUAAUUGAUGGAGCAGCUUCUUUUGGAGAUAUAUGUAAAGAUCAGAUGGCAAGUGUCUAGAAGGGUUCCUUUGCUUUUAAUUGAUGUCCUUUGCGUCACCUCUUGUUCUUUUCAUCAAUAUUUCUUGGCUUAGAGAUCUUUUCUGGGGCUGAUGAACUUGGAUGAAGCUAUACUUGAUGCAUGUGGUAGGCUUGACCUCCCCCCCAACUCUCCUGACCCUGUCUCUGUUGCUUAUGCUCAUUGUGUUUUAGGAACCAGUGGAUGGCAAUUGACCCAUUGAAAGUGUUGCUGGCUGCUCAGUUUAUGGCUGAGUCUGGCUUGGUCUUCCUAUUAAAUGGCAGUGACUACAUGGCUGUUGGAGUUAUUGAUGGAUGGCUAGUUAUUGUUUGGUGAAUUUGGUUUGCAGGGAUUACCAGCUGUGCUUCCCUUUGGUAUUUUGGCCUUUUGUUUUUUGCCUGAGCUUCUGCUAUUUGAAGUUAUGGUCCAAUCAUGUUGCAAUAUCAAAUACUGAAUUUUGCGUCAUGGUUUGGGUUAAGAUUGCCUUUGGCAAUAUGUUGGAUCUUGUAAAAUUGUCUUUCACUUCUGAAUACCCGUGUACCAAUCUGAUGAUUUUUGAAGGUGUUUGAUAUCUCCCGCAUCAUGUGCGUGUGAAAAACAAAAGUUGCUGUCGUUGGAAUUGUCAAGUUGCUUUGCAUGGAUCGUGGUUUCUGUUUUUCUUUAAACAUCUUCUUGUGUUGGACUGUCCUUGAAUUUUGGUUCCGUGGUUUCAGAUUGUGGUAGUGAACGUUGAUUUGUCAAGUGUUGUUCUAAGUGGAGCUACAGUUUUGCUAAGUAUGCAGCAAAUAUGAUUUUACAGCGUAAGGUUUUUGAAUGCUCGAUUCUAUGAUCUUUACCGGGGUUCGUUUGAUAUCCAUUGCUUUUAUGAUGUGCUUAGGCCUUUGGCUUUUUGGAAGAGCUUGCUCUUCUGCAUGCUUCUUGUUUCUCUGUGAGUGCUUGUUGGUACCUGUGUGUGGUUGAAUGCAUGUAACUCCGCCUGUGCUGCAUUUCAUAGCUCACAGCCGGUCUCAAGCCCGGGUUAAGGAGGAGAGAUGCAUGGCUAUAACAUAUGGUGAUGGAGUUAUGUUAUGCUUUGCUGGAAAUAGUUGUCCAUUUUAAUUUACCCUGCAUGUAAAUGUAUAUGCUUAUCUAUAUUGUUGCAAUAUUUUUUUAGCUUCCAGUUGAUUCAGCUCACUGGAUGAGAAAUCAUGAGAGAUGGUCAAGGCUCUUUCUGCCAACCAGUAAGUAACCGCUGUGAAAGACCGUGAUGCUGAAACUUGAAGGCGAUGGCGUGUCUUUUUUCCUCCGUGUAUUAAUUAAUUCUCGAUUUACUGUUGUAUAUAUCCGUGCACUGCACGAUUAAAUCAAUAGAAAGUAAGUUUUUCUUAUUCUUUUGGAA